CCCUUAGAUGUUCUGGGCCGCGCGCGCUACACUGUUCGACGCAGCGAGUCUUAACCUUGACCGAAAGGUUUGGGUAAUCUUCAGCAAAGUCGAACGUGAUGGGGAUCGAUCAUUGCAAUUAUUGAUCGUGAACGAGGAAUUCCUAGUAAGUGCAAGUCAUCAGCUUGCGCUGAUUACGUCCCUGCCCUUUGUACACACCGCCCGUCGCUACUACCGAUUGAAUGGUUUAGUGAGAUCUCUGGAUUGACGCUGGCUAGGGGGCGACCCUUGGCCAGGCUGUCGAGAAACUGCUCAAACUCGAUCAUUUAGAGGAAGUAAAAGUCGUAACA
rnacentral:rRNA from 1 species